AACAACUGGCGAACAAGGAGUUCGCCAGGAUCAGGGACGAUCGACCAUCGCCGGGAAGGCAGCCGACAGGGAGUUGGAAUGGUCUUGGUACAAACCCGCUUCGGCGGGUUUUUU
rfam:Pseudomonas syringae pv. pisi str. 1704B contig17.3, whole genome shotgun sequence.